CCCACUGUCUGAGCAGGAAGUCUUUCCAGCCGUGUGGUCUCAUCCAGGAGCUCCGGGCCACCUCCCUCCCUGUCCCCGUGUGCGGGCAGAGAGCCCAGGCCACCCGUGCACUUCCCUCCCCUCUCCUGUUCCGCAGGCCCUGGCUGCCCUGGGAAACUCCACAUUCAGACAGGCCUGGUGCAGACGCUGGUGUCCUGGCAGCGCCUAAAUCAUUAGCGCCGCGGAGAUUAGGCUGCUAAUCUCCUUGUUGGGUGGAGCGGUGCCAGCCGCCAGCCUGUGGAUCAUGCUGCUCUCUUGCAGGGGCCGUUCCUCGGGGCACGACGCUGGCUCCUGCACAGAUCCUACUCCUUUGUGGCCUUCCUGGGCUGCCCUCCCCUCCUCCAGGACUGCUCUGGACUGACGCUUCUCAGGUUCGGAUCCCGGUGGCUGUGAUCGGUCAUUCCAGCUUUGUGCUGGCUGCAGGUGGAUGAUGCCCAGCUGGCUGCCGAUGACUUCUGCACCAAGUGAGGCUGGGUCUCUGGAGCUGCCCCAGGGACUGGACAAGCUGACCCUGGCCGGAGCCAACCUGGAGAUGCAGAUUGAGAACCUCAAGGAGGACCUGGUCUACCUGAAGAAGAACCAUGAGGAGAAGGCUCUAGGUCCCAGGGACUCCAAGGCUCAACCCAAGGAUAGAGAGCCAAGGUUCUGCUGGGGCAGUCAGGAGGCCUUACACGCCCUGUCCUGUGGCUUCCUUCUCUGCCGAGCUCCGUGCUGCUCUGAGCUGGGGGAGCCUACUCCCCGAGAAGCGGGACACCCGGACGGGGUUUCCCCCUGGCUUUGAGGCUGGUUAUACUAUUGCUUUCCUCCAGCAGAUUAACAUUUGCUAACGGGGCCUGGCGCGGUGACACCAGUGUUGCUUUCUGCAUGCCUGUGCUGUGGGG
rnacentral:lncRNA from 1 species